rnacentral:rRNA from 1 species
GACGAACGCUGGCGGCGUGCUUAACACAUGCAAGUCGAACGGUGACGAUCAAGCUUGCUUGGUCUGAUCAGUGGCGAACGGGUGAGUAACACGUGAGUAACCUGCCCCUGACUCUGGGAUAACCCCGGGAAACCGGAGCUAAUACCGGAUACGACACGCCUCCGCAUGGGGAGCGUGUGGAAAGUUUUUCGGUCUGGGAUGGACUCGCGGCCUAUCAGCUUGUUGGUGAGGUAAUGGCUCACCAAGGCGACGACGGGUAGCCGGCCUGAGAGGGCGACCGGCCACACUGGGACUGAGACACGGCCCAGACUCCUACGGGAGGCAGCAGUGGGGAAUAUUGCACAAUGGGCGAAAGCCUGAUGCAGCGACGCCGCGUGAGGGAUGACGGCCUUCGGGUUGUAAACCUCUUUCAGCAGGGAAGAAGCGCAAGUGACGGUACCUGCAGAAGAAGCACCGGCUAACUACGUGCCAGCCGCCGCUGUAAAAC